rnacentral:rRNA from 1 species
AUUGAACGCUGGCGGCAGGCCUAACACAUGCAAGUCGAGCGGAUGAAGGGAGCUUGCUCCUGGAUUCAGCGGCGGACGGGUGAGAAAUGCCUAGGAAUCUGCCUGGUAGUGGGGGAUAACGUCCGGAAACGGGCGCUAAUACCGCAUACGUCCUGAGGGAGAAAGUGGGGGAUCUUCGGACCUCACGCUAUCAGAUGAGCCUAGGUCGGAUUAGCUAGUUGGUGGGGUAAAGGCCUACCAAGGCGACGAUCCGUAACUGGUCUGAGAGGAUGAUCAGUCACACUGGAACUGAGACACGGUCCAGACUCCUACGGGAGGCAGCAGUGGGGAAUAUUGGACAAUGGGCGAAAGCCUGAUCCAGCCAUGCCGCGUGUGUGAAGAAGGUCUUCGGAUUGUAAAGCACUUUAAGUUGGGAGGAAGGGCAGUAAGUUAAUACCUUGCUGUUUUGACGUUACCAACAGAAUAAGCACCGGCUAACUUCGU